UGCACCAUGUCUUGAAUGCUCUAC
rnacentral:siRNA from 1 species